rnacentral:rRNA from 1 species
ACGAAGGAUGCAAGCGUUAUCCGGAUUCAUUGGGUUUAAAGGGAGCGUAGGCGGUCUGGUAAGUCAGUGGUGAAAUCUUCUCGCUUAACGAGGAAACUGCCAUUGAUACUGCCGGACUUGAGUACAGAUGCUGUGGGCGGAAUAUGACAUGUAGUGGUGAAAUACAUAGAGAUGUCAUAGAACACCGAUUGCGAAGGCAGCUUACUACACAACGAUUGACGCUGAGGCACGAAAGCGUGGGGAUCAAACAGGA